rnacentral:rRNA from 1 species
AGAGUUUGAUCCUGGCUCAGGAUGAACGCUAGCUACAGGCUUAACACAUGCAAGUCGAGGGGCAGCGGGUUGAAAGCUUGCUUUCAAUGCCGGCGACCGGCGCACGGGUGCGUAACGCGUAUCAAACCUGCCUCAUACUCGGGGAUAGCCUUGCGAAAGUAAGAUUAAUACCCGAUGUUGUUGCUUUCUCGCAUGGGAGAGUAACCAAAGAUUUAUCGGUAUGAGAUGGUGAUGCGUCCGAUUAGGUAGUAGGCGGGGUAACGGCCCACCUAGCCUUCGAUCGGUAGGGGUUCUGAGAGGAAGGUCCCCCACACUGGAACUGAGACACGGUCCAGACUCCUACGGGAGGCAGCAGUGAGGAAUAUUGGUCAAUGGGCGAGAGCCUGAACCAGCCAAGUCGCGUGAAGGAUGACUGUCUUAUGGAUUGUAAACUUCUUUUAUACGGGAAUAACAAGAGUCACGUGUGACUCCCUGCAUGUACCGUAUGAAUAAGCAUCGGCUAACUCCGUGCCAGCAGCCGCGGUAAUACGGAGGAUGCGAGCGUUAUCCGGAUUUAUUGGGUUUAAAGGGUGCGUAGGCGGCCUGUUAAGUCAGCGGUGAAAUCUAGGAGCUUAACUCCUAAAUUGCCAUUGAUACUGGCGGGCUUGAGUGUAGAUGAGGUAGGCGGAAUGCGUGGUGUAGCGGUGGAAUGCAUAGAUAUCACGCAGAACUCCGAUUGCGAAGGCAGCUUACUAAGGUACAACUGACGCUGAAGCACGAAAGCGUGGGUAUCAAACAGGAUUAGAUACCCUGGUAGUCCACGCAGUAAACGAUGAUAACUGGGCGUAUGCGAUAUACAGUAUGCUCCUAAGCGAAAGCGUUAAGUUAUCCACCUGGGGAGUACGCCGGCAACGGUGAAACUCAAAGGAAUUGACGGGGGCCCG